CAGGCAGGCCUCCUUGAGCUGUGGUGGGCUCCACCCAGUUCGAGCUUCCUGGCUGCUUUGUUUACCUACGGGAGCCUGGGCAAUGGCGGGCGCCCCUCCCCCAGCCUCCCUGCCGCCUUGCAGUUUGAUCUCAGACUGCUGUGCUAGCAAUCAGCGAGACUCCGUGGGCGUAAGACCCUCCGAGCCAGGUGCGGGAUAUAAUCUCGUGGUGCACCGUUUUUUCAGCCCGUCGGAAAAGCGCAGUAUUCAGGUGGGAGUGAUCUGAUUUUCCAGGUGCCGUCCGUCACCCCUUUCUUUGACUGGGAAAGGGAACUCCCUGACCCCUUGUGCUUCCCAAGUGAGGCAAUGCCUCACCCUGCUUCGGCUCGCGCAAGGUGCGUGCACCCACUGACCUGCGCCCACUGUCUGGCGCUCCCUAGUGAGAUGAACCCGGUACCUCAGAUGGAAAUGCAGAAAUCACCGUCUUCUGGCGUCGCUCACGCUGGGAGCUGUAGACCGGAGCUGUUCCUAUUCGGCCAUCUUGGCUCCAAAAUCCAGCCAUAUUUUGAGAUUCUCCUAUGUACCUGAAUCUUCAGAGAGCACAGCUGGACUCCACACAUGCAAAGUACUGGACCCUUCCUUUGAAUCCACCACUGUUACCCCUGGAAGUUGGAUGUUUCUGCUGGCAUUCUUCCCAUCAUGGACUCUGUGCAGAAGUUGCCUCCUAUGGUUUGAAUGUGUUCCCCAUAGUUCAUGUGUUGGGAACUUAAUGACUAAUGCAACAGUGGUGAGAGGUAGGUCCUCCCUUUAAGAGGUGAUGCGGUAAUGAGGGCUCUGCCCCCAUGAAUCGAUUAAUGUUGUUAUCAUGGACAUGGGUACAUUAUCUCAAGAGUGGAUUUGUUAUAAAAGUGAGAUAAGCCCUUUCUUGCUCCCUCUUGCUCUUGUGCUCUGUUGCCCUUCCACCUCUCACCAUGGAAUGAAGCAGAAAGAAGUUCCCAGCAUCAGGCUCUUGAACUUCCUAGCCUCCAGAACUGUGAGUCA
rnacentral:lncRNA from 1 species